AAAGGGCUCUGAUAGCUACAUAUAUUCUGUUCACUCAUAAAUAAUAGGGGGGCACUGUUUACUGUUUGUAGUCCUUGUGGUUACAGUGGGACUGUCACUGUUUUAUUAGUUACUUUUGCACUUUCUGAUGUUCCUGUAAAACAACAUUCUGUUUCAGGAGAUGCGCCUGUCAAGGAAGCAGGAGAGGGUGGAUAGCAUGAUGAGUGCCUUCGAACACUUUGUUUAUGUCUCUGCGGGGUGGAAGUAUUUUGUUAACUCUGUGCUCACAAUGUGGAUCAGUCGCUGCUGCCAACAUAAAUAUUUUCAAAUAUUUCACCAAGAAUUGCUGCAAAGCUACAGGAGAUUUUCUGCCUAUAUGACUGAGAUUGUGUCUCCUUUGAUUUCAACUUCAUUUAAUUUUGCAGAAGAGGCAAACACAAGAUGAGUAAUAGUGCAGCCCUCCAACUUGCAUUAUUGAUACUUCCAAAGUGUCCAGUUCAAACAGGGGCAGAAUGUUAACAGAACUGAGAGUAUCAGUCUAGUGGCUGAAGGACAAAAAUAAUCUGCCUUUUUGAUCUUUGCUGGUCAACAAAAGCAUGCUUUGCUUGCUCCAUAAGUCUUUCAUGUGAGAGAAAAUGGACAGAGAUGAAAACCCACGUCUGAUCUAACGCUUUUGCAAGCUGUGUUUUCUUACACCCACAGGAGAUGAAGAGUUCUGGCCUUUGAGAAUAAUGGACAAAGAACCUGCAUUAACAGUCCUUCAUUGUCCAUGUGUCGCUCAGAUGACCAAGGCCAAACCCUACUAACACUGGGCAGGACAGGAGCAUGGUGUGAAGUGAAGAGCAAGAGAAAGUUUCACAGGAUAAGUGAUGGCCAACUGAAGUUUCUCUUUUGUGAGAUGCCAAGCUUUGGUCAAACCCAUGAGAGCGGAGUCUGCAUAUGACGACUUGCAUUGGGAACUGCACUGAAUAUAGCACACAAUCCAUCUGCAAGUCAUUUCUCUUCAGCUUUAUCCCGUGGGAAGCAGUGUGCUUUACAGACCUGACAGCUGCAUCUCUUUCAACUGUGGCAAUGCAGAGCAGAGCAGCUCCUCCAGCUGAGGCUACAGGGACUCUGCUAUGCAGGACUUGAAGAGCGAGGAUGAGAAGCUCUACUUGUUCUCUGCAUCAAGAAUGACUUAUGACCAGAUAUGACUUGCUUUGGCAUUUGAGAGAGUGGUAGAUGCUGGAGACCUUCCGAAGGAUGUGCAUAAGACUGCAGAUGUAGGCUGGGGCCAGUUUCCUUUGCCCUUCAGAACAUGAGGAAGUUAAGACAAAGAAAGUAUGCCUUUUCCAUUUGAUCUUUGUUUAUAUAUUUUGAUUUAAAACGGUAACUUUUCAACAAGCUCUGACUUUUGUCUUACAAUAUAGACUGUUCCUAGAAUUGCAUGGCAACAAGCAGAAUCCAUUUUAAGGGUAGAUUUUCAUACUUAAUUUUAUUUAUGACAUGAACGUAAUACUGUGGUUUUAUAAUAAAUCUCACUAACACAUGAAAGACUGUUUAAGACAAUAAUAUGAGUCCUCCUUUCAGUUCAGAUUCUGUGUGAGAGGGUUAAUGUCUGAGCACACUGGAGUCACCCCCGUGGAUUAAUCCAGUGGGCUCAGACCAGUCCUACUUGACUCUCCAAAACCAGCCUGAUAAUCAGCAAGUCUCUACACGAAGUUGACGAGUUAAGCAAUCACAAUGACUUGACCAUCAACUUGACCUUUAAGAUCCCUUCAGAAGAGAUUUGAUCCACACUGAUUUACUUUAUCUCUCAGACUGCAAGAUCUGUACUAAAACCCUGAUUGACCAGAAGUCUUUUUUUUUUUUUUUUUUUUUUGCCUUAUGUUAGCCAAUGGCCCAAUGUGAAAACAGUAAGUGAAAGUCACACCUUACUGAAUUCAAAGGAAGGACUGCUUUCAAUGGAGCUAGAAUUUCACCAAGC